AGAGAAGAGAUUACUGAAAAGAAAUUUGUAAAUAAAUUGGAUGAAAAAGAAAACCUUGACUUCUCUGGCGAGAUAGACUCUACCGAAUUUGCCUUUUCCGAGGGGUUUUCCGAUCUCGAAGUCUUUUAAGGACCAUUUUCGCUCCGAAUUUCCUU